AUACGGAGGGUGCAAGCGUUGUCCGGAUUCACUGGGUGUAAAGGGUGUGUAGGCGGGACUGUAAGUCAGAGGUGAAAGCCCACGGCUCAACCGUGGAAUUGCCUUUGAUACUGCAGUUCUUGAGUCUCGGAGAGGUCAUUGGAAUUCGUGGUGUAGCGGUGAAAUGCGUAGAUAUCACGAGGAACAUCAGAGGCGAAGGCGGAUGACUGGACGAGUACUGACGCUGAGGCACGAAAGCGUGGGGAGCAAACAGGAUUAGAAACCCCGGUAGUCC
rnacentral:rRNA from 1 species